UACGUAGGGUGCGAGCGUUAAUCGGAAUUACUGGGCGUAAAGCGUGCGCAGGCGGUUUUGUAAGUCCGUCGUGAAAUCCCCGGGCUCAACCUGGGAAUGGCGAUGGAGACUGCAAGGCUAGAGUUUGGCAGAGGGGGGUAGAAUUCCACGUGUAGCAGUGAAAUGCGUAGAUAUGUGGAGGAACACCGAUGGCGAAGGCAGCCCCCUGGGUCAAAACUGACGCUCAUGCACGAAAGCGUGGGGAGCAAACAGG
rnacentral:rRNA from 1 species